UAUGUGUGUAUAUAUCUGCAGCUACAUGCUCACGUUACAUACCUACGUUACAUACAUAUGUAUAUGCCUGUGUAUUAAUGAGAAUCUCCACCGUUGGGGCUAUGUUAUCGCCAUCGAAUGUAUUUCAUUCAGUCAGCUGACGCCGUUUGUGAUGGUUGCUUGUUAGAGAAGCGUUGAAAUUUUCGCAUAAAAAUUCUAAAUUUUAUUUGUCGUGUGUUUGUUAUUGUAAUUUGUUGGCUGUUGCAAGUUUCAAUGAAAUACGGUGACUGAAAGUGGUAAAGAAGCAUAGGUAGGAAGAGUAAAGAAUUGUGAGAAAAAAUUUUCGGGCAUAAAAAAUUCGACAAAAAUACCAAGUGCAAAAGUUAAAAGAAAAAUUUUUCAAAAUAAAAUUAAUUAUAAGAAAAGUCAGUAACUAACUAAAAAAAAGUAUCACUUUAAAAAAAAAAUUAAGUGCAAACGUUCUCAAAGGAUACCAAUUAAAUUCGCGUUUUUUGCGAAUUUUCCUAAACAAAACAAGACUAACUGAUAACCAACCAAAAAAUAAAAUCAACUCUGGUAUCGAUGAAGAUGGGUUCACCAGCUGUCAAACAACACAAACGCGCAAGCAAAUCGUCGAGCUCUUCGCGGGUCAGCAUGACCACAUCGCAGGCGGAGGAGAAUUUCGUCGAAUCCAAGCUCUUCAGCUGGAUGAGACUAUUCCGAUUCGCAUCACUGCUCUGCCGUGCGGAAUAAUUUAGCAAGCAGAAUGGAAGCGGAAAUAAAUGAGCCAUAUGGCGGCGAGCCCAUCGGGCGACUAGCAGAAGUGCAGGGGGCAAUUAAUUAUAAUAAAUAAUAAACAACAAAAAAAAAUGUAGUAGUCAUACAAAAAGGCAAUUAGUUUAUAGACUUAGAGUAUGUGAUAACAUACACACAUACAUAUAUUCAAAAUAUUCAAUUUCAAAUGAAGUACUAAACAAAAAUCAGUAAAGAAUAAUGCAAAAUAAAAUCAAUUAAAAUAAAAAAAAUAUAAAACAAAAUUAAAAAAUAAAUAAUAAAAUAAAAUGAAAAAUAAAAUAAAAUAACAUAAAAUGAAAUUAAAUAAAAUACAAUAAACUAAUAUGAAACAAAAUAAAACAAAAUGAAAUGAAAUAAAA